rnacentral:rRNA from 1 species
GACGAACGCUGGCGGCGUGCUUAACACAUGCAAGUCGAACGGUAAGGCCCUUCGGGGUACACGAGUGGCGAACGGGUGAGUAACACGUGGGUGAUCUGCCCUGCACUUCGGGAUAAGCCUGGGAAACUGGGUCUAAUACCGGAUAGGACCACUGCCUGCAUGGGUGGUGGUGGAAAGCUUUUGCGGUGUGGGAUGGGCCCGCGGCCUAUCAGCUUGUUGGUGGGGUGAUGGCCUACCAAGGCGACGACGGGUAGUCGGCCUGAGAGGGUGACCGGCCACACUGGGACUGAGAUACGGCCCAGACUCCUACGGGAGGCAGCAGUGGGGAUUAUUGCACAAUGGGCGCAAGCCUGAUGCAGCGACGCCGCGUGAGGGAUGACGGCCUUCGGGUUGUAAACCUCUUUCAGCACCGACGAAGCGCAAGUGACGGUAGGUGCAGAAGAAGGACCGGCCAACUACGUGCCAGCAGCCGCCGUAA